AUGAACGCUGACAGAAUGCUUAACACAUGCAAGUCUUUGGCGAAUCUGUGCUUGCACAGGCUAGCCAAGGCGGACGGGUGAGUAACGCGUAAAGAACUUGCCCUGCAGACAGGGAUAACAGACGGAAACGACUGAUAACACCUGAUACAGUUGCCGGCACGCAUGUGCCUGGCAAUGAAAAGAGAUGCUGCAGGAGAGCUUUGCGUCCUAUUAGCUUGUUGGUGAGGUGACGGCUCACCAAGGCGAUGAUAGGUAGCCGGCCUGAGAGGGUGAACGGCCACAAGGGGACUGAGAUACGGCCCUUACUCCUACGGGAGGCAGCAGUGGGGAAUAUUGGACAAUGGGGGCAACCCUGAUCCAGCAAUUCUGUGUGCACGAAGAAGGUUUUCGGAGUGUAAAGUGCUUUCAGCAGGGAAGAAGAAAGUGACGGUACCUGCAGAAGAAGCGACGGCUAAAUACGUG
rnacentral:rRNA from 1 species